rnacentral:rRNA from 1 species
UUCUGCAGUCAAAGCAGUUCAGGUUGUGAUCUCAUUAACUAAGCAGGAUCAGGUCUAAUCAGUACUGCUUUGGGAAACCACCACUGGGUAAGUAGGUGCUGCCAGAAG